rnacentral:rRNA from 1 species
AUGUUCCCCAACAGCUGUUGCUGUAGCUUUUUUGUGUCCCUGAUCCUGAAGCCACUGGUAACUGCAGUUGCGACAACUAUAGUUGGACGAUUCUGUGACUCUUCUAGAUGGCUGGAUAUCUAUGAUGCCAAAAUAUGCUUCUUUUUACUCCUUUUGAACAUGCUGAAGAACCAGCCGCCGACGGGCGAGGGCAUGGGGUACCUGGAGGCCAAGCACCACCUGCUGUUGAGCUACUGCCAGGGCCUUGUCUACUACCUGCUACGCGAGGCCAAGGGGUUGUCUGUCGAUGGGCACCCUAUCGCGCGCAGCCUUGUCGAGAUCAGGCUGUUUCUUGAGAAGAUUCGCCCAAUAGACAAGAAGAUGGACUACCAGAUCCAGAAGCUCACCAAUGCCGCAGAUGGCGCGGCAGCCCAGGAUAAGGCGCCAGGCGCCAAGGUCAAUGGGAAGGGUGGGCAACAAGGCGAGGGCGACCUAUUGGGGUACCGGCCAAACCCGGAUAUGAUGGAUAUCAAAAUUGCUCCUGAAGGACAGCCCCCGAACCAGGCUUCAAUGACGAUGAGUCCGGCGCGCAGAUGUUCUUUGGCAUUGCAAGGUGGGUUCUUCUCCAAAUCCAGAGUACCUGUUGUGACGAACAGUGUCCGGCCUCCAUCAAUUCCGGACUCUGCCGCCGCACUGGCGAAAAUAAUGUUUGAUUUGUACAAAGGGGAAGAGGAGGAGUUCCUCCGCAUCAAGCCAUGGGAUGGAUUUUCCAUGUACAACCCCCCAAGAUGGGUAAGCUGUAAUUCCUUUGCUCGACUCUAUUCCAAAGCAGGAACUGAGGAGGGCCGUGAAGCAGUUCAACAGCUCACCUCCGCAGCCAGAGGAUCCUGGCCGGGAUCUUGA